rnacentral:rRNA from 1 species
ACACGCUGGCGGCGUGCCUAAUACAUGCAAGUUGAACGCUGAAGACUGGUACUUGUACCAGUUGGAUGAGUAGCGAAACGGGUGAGUAACGCGUGGGUAACCUACCUCUUAGCGGGGACAACUAUUGGAAACGAUAGCUAAUACCGCAUAACCAAUACCUAACACAUCGUUAAGUAUUUGAAAGCACCAACUGGUGCACUAAGAGAUGGACCCGCGUUGUAUUAGCUAGUUGGUAGUGUAAUGGACUACCAAGGCGAUGAUACAUAGCCGACCUGAGAGGGUGAUCGGCCACAUUGGGACUGAGACACGGCCCAAACUCCUACGGGAGGCAGCAGUAGGGAAUCUUCGGCAAUGGGGGCAACCCUGACCGAGCAACGCCGCGUGAGUGAAGAAGGUUUUCGGAUCGUAAAACUCUGUUGUUAGAGAAGAACGUCACGUGAGAGUGGAAAGUUCACUGAGUGACGGUAUCUAACCAGAAAGGGACGGCUAACUACGUG